GACGAACGCUGUCGGCGUGCUUAACACAUGCAAGUCGAACGGAAAGGCCCUGCUUUUGUGGGGUGCUCGAGUGGCGAACGGGUGAGUAACACGUGAGUAACCUGCCCUUGACUUUGGGAUAACUUCAGGAAACUGGGGCUAAUACCGGAUAGGAGCUCCUGCUGCAUGGUGGGGGUUGGAAAGUUUCGGCGGUUGGGGAUGGACUCGCGGCUUAUCAGCUUGUUGGUGGGGUAGUGGCUUACCAAGGCUUUGACGGGUAGCCGGCCUGAGAGGGUGACCGGCCACAUUGGGACUGAGAUACGGCCCAGACUCCUACGGGAGGCAGCAGUGGGGAAUAUUGCACAAUGGGCGGAAGCCUGAUGCAGCAACGCCGCGUGCGGGAUGACGGCCUUCGGGUUGUAAACCGCUUUCGCCUGUGACGAAGCGUGAGUGACGGUAAUGUGUAAAGAAGCACCGGCUAACUACGUG
rnacentral:rRNA from 1 species